UUUAAGCUGAGGGAGUUGGAGAAAACAGCAGAAGCAAGACGAUCACUCUAAUUUUGUCCCCACCCUCUUUCCUAAAACAGAUCAUAAAUUCCUCAUGUGAGAGGUGUCUUCCCUAUAUCUGGAGGAAAGGAGCAUCUUUACCUUUGAAUACAAAGGAUGCCAAGAAGAAUCUGAAUGGAAAGGACUUAUGCAGCCAGAGACCCUAAGGAGGGUCAAGGAAAACUUUCCUUCCUUACACCUUGGUAGAGCUUUUUGGACUUGAAACGCCUCCAAGAGAGACAGCAAGGCAGCUUCCUCAACUCCUAUCCUUAUCAAGAAACACUGCUGCAUAGUAAUGACCAGAAGGCUCCAGUUACACCCUUCCUGCUACAACUUGCGAGCAUGUAACUGAGUUCUGGCUACAGCAAAGUAAAUGGAAGUUGCCACUUGUACACCUGAUAUCAAAUGCUUGUGUCAUCUUCCACUCUGUCUUUCCCUGCCCAUUUGUCUGGAAAUGAAGGCCCGUGAGAUGGUGGAAGAAAAACAAAAAAAAGAAUAUUGAAGGUGAUUCCCGCACUGCCUGUGUGGCUCUGACUCUCUGAGUCACCAUGUGGAGUGGAUCCUCCUGGGAAAGCAAGAUAACCAGGAGCAUCUACCUCAGGACCCUGUGUGCAUGUAAGAAAUACAUCUCCUUGUGUUACGCCAUUGAGAUUUUGGAGCUACUUUAGUCUUAGAAAUUAGUCUAUUUUGACUUACCCAGUAAUUGUUCAGACUAAGACAUAUUCUUUUAAAUGAUCCAGGAAGUCCUUCAUAUGUGCCAUCAUCAUCUGAAAUUUAUUAGUUAGACAUUUCAAAUAAAUGGCUUUGGAGCAACUCAAUCUACUUUCCUUCCAGGAAUAUGACAUGCUU